GGGAACAUUGCCUGUGGAUGUCAUUACUUCAGUGCCUGUACCAUUUGCAUGCACAAAGUCUUUGGAGUUUCCAUGUUGCACAGAUUCUCCCUGGCUACCUGGCUGAGAGGAAAUUAUCGAUGUCACUUGAAGAUCUGAUUGCCAACAUCAUAAAAACAGUGCUAGGAAAAACCACAAAAUAUUGCACAAGACCCAGGAGGACUGAAAGUUGAAGGAUUUCUUUCAGAGGAUAUAUUGUUUUCACUGGUGAGUAGGUGGAGCCAUUCCAUUUUUCCUGAUUACAGUCUAGAACAGCUCAAGUUGCUGUGACUGGAAUUCUGUUUCUAUGGAUCAUCUUGCUGAAAGAAUUUGACAGCAGCAGAGUUUUUCCCCAGUGCCCUUGUUGUAAAUUGUAUGUGUUUCA
rnacentral:lncRNA from 1 species